UACGUAGGGUGCAAGCGUUGUCCGGAAUUAUUGGGCGUAAAGGGCUUGUAGGCGGUUUGUCGCGUCUGCUGUGAAAUUUCGGGGCUCAACCCCGAACUUGCAGUGGAUACGGGCAGACUAGAGUGUGGUAGGGGAGACUGGAAUUCCUGGUGUAGCGGUGAAAUGCGCAGAUAUCAGGAGGAACACCGAUGGCGAAGGCAGGUCUCUGGGCCGGUACUGACGCUGAGAAGCGAAAGCGUGGGGAGCGAACAGG
rnacentral:rRNA from 1 species